rnacentral:misc_RNA from 1 species
AAGAAGAAGAAGAAAGGAAAUAAGGUCUGCAACUAAAUUUUAUUACAAUUUUAAUCUUUUGAUUUUGAUUAUCUAGGUUAAAUAUUGCAAAAUGCAUAGAAGAUAUCGUAAAUAUAAUAAUAUGCUUCUUUGUUUUAUGUUCUGCUUCACCAUGGACGUUGCUUAACUUUAUUUACACAUGAAUCCUGUUUUCAUGGUAGCAUUUCAAAAUGCUUUCAAUGGGACAGAUAAUGAACUUACUUGUUUGGGUGUUCUUGAUCAUCCAAUUAAAUCCAGUGGAGAUCCAUGAAUUAAUCUGAACAAUUAUCCACCGAAAGCCCAUCACUUUUGUAUUAGAGUAAGAAUUUAUCUUUGCAAUUUCCUACUUAUGGAUGUUCUGAACAAUUCCUGCUUAUUUUCAUUAACUUUAUAUUGAAUUGGAUACCUGUAAAUUUCCAAUUUAUCUCAUUUUAUGCUUAGUCAAUUUGGACUGUUGAUUUUCAGAACAAGCUAGCUUGUAACAAGGGUUGAUACCUUUGUAAGAAUGUUAAAUGACUUUUUUAUAAUUUAUUUAUUUAUAAUUUUGGACAAUGGAUCAUCUUAAAGAAAUUAUGUAUCAAUUUACUGUUUACUUAGGGUCUUAGACUUGUCAAGUAGUAAAAUGGUUGUUGCAAUUGGGCUAUUAAUUGAAUUCUUAUUCGCAUAUUGAUUAGAAUCCAACAUGAAAAGAUAAUGGAAAUGGCCAAAUUUUGGUUCAUUUCUAUUGGCCCUUGUUCAGUUCAUUUCUACUCUCAAGCAUUUACUGAUACUGCUAUUCCAUCUCUUGCAGUACUAAUGACGUUAAAAAAUAGUCGUUGAAUUGUGGACUUGAUGAACAAGCCCUCUUUUAUUUUCUACUUGCUUCAUUUACUAAUUCUGCAAAUUUUUGUGUUAGACGUUAACCAACUACAAAGAAG